rnacentral:rRNA from 1 species
UACGUAGGUGGCAAGCGUUGUCCGGAAUUAUUGGGCGAAAGCGCGCGCAGGCGGUCUUUUAAGUCUGAUGUGAAAGCCCCUGGCUCAACCGGGGAGGGUCAUUGGAAACUGGGAGACUUGAGUGCAGAAGAGAAGAGCGGAAUUCCACGUGAUAGCGGUAGAAAUGCGUAGAGAGUGUGGAGGAACACCAGUGGCGAAGGCGGCUC